UCGAGCGAACGGACGAGAAGCUUGCUUCUCUGAUGUUAGCGGCGGACGGGUGAGUAACACGUGGAUAACCUACCUAUAAGACUGGGAUAACUUCGGGAAACCGGAGCUAAUACCGGAUAAUAUUUUGAACCGCAUGGUUCAAAAGUGAAAGACGGUCUUGCUGUCACUUAUAGAUGGAUCCGCGCUGCAUUAGCUAGUUGGUAAGGUAACGGCUUACCAAGGCAACGAUGCAUAGCCGACCUGAGAGGGUGAUCGGCCACACUGGAACUGAGACACGGUCCAGACUCCUACGGGAGGCAGCAGUAGGGAAUCUUCCGCAAUGGGCGAAAGCCUGACGGAGCAACGCCGCGUGAGUGAUGAAGGUCUUCGGAUCGUAAAACUCUGUUAUUAGGGAAGAACAUAUGUGUAAGUAACUGUGCACAUCUUGACGGUACCUAAUCAGAAAGCCACGGCUAACUACGUGCCAGCAGCCGCGGUAAUACGUAGGUGGCAAGCGUUAUCCGGAAUUAUUGGGCGUAAAGCGCGCGUAGGCGGUUUUUUAAGUCUGAUGUGAAAGCCCACGGCUCAACCGUGGAGGGUCAUUGGAAACUGGAAAACUUGAGUGCAGAAGAGGAAAGUGGAAUUCCAUGUGUAGCGGUGAAAUGCGCAGAGAUAUGGAGGAACACCAGUGGCGAAGGCGACUUUCUGGUCUGUAACUGACGCUGAUGUGCGAAAGCGUGGGGAUC
rnacentral:rRNA from 1 species